rnacentral:lncRNA from 1 species
UUCACAUUCACAGUAUACAUGAAUCCACAUCAUAAUUAAUAAAAACAAUGAAAAAUAAUCAACCACACAAAUUUUAUUGGCCACUUCUUCAAAUUCUAUAGACCACUUCUUAAUUCCAUAUAAUUCAAGAAGCAAGACUAGAUUGACCGCUCUCCAUAGGCUUAUACAUGUGAACAACCUUGCUGCUAUACCGUUCGUGAUUUCAUCACAAUAUUUGCUCAACCAACUAUCCCAUCUUAGCUAGUUGGUACCCAUAUUUUCAUUAUUGUGGAUGGUUGGAGGAUGGUAUAUGCAAAAUGUGCACUUGCACCCCUCGGCAACACACUCGCCAGAUUUGUAUUCCCCUGUACGUUUGGAGCAUGCGUCUUCGCAAGUUUUUCUAUCACAUGGUGGAUCUGUGAUUUUUUUUGACACACAUGUGAUGAGUUUAAUGCUAUCUCUCGAUGCCUGUAUUGCCACAUCUGCAAAGUCUCGAGAUGAAGAAAAGGGACGGUCACAACAUGACCAUUCUUUGUUGAGAGAGAUUAUGCACAAAUGUAUUACAUGAACAAGUACCUGAUGCUACCACGAGAAAGACCAAGGCCAAAAGCCACAUAUCGGUGGUCCUCAUUUCAACUGGUCGUUUGUGUUGAAGGAAUGAGUUGUUGAUUUCUGUG